AAGACCUUUCCAAUCAAGAGCUACAUAGGCAAGAUCCAAGUUUAUUCAAGCAUAGCAAGACAAAUCUGUCUUAAUUUAUGAAUGAUUCAUUGAUACAAAAUGAAUAGAGAAGUCCUUCUUGAGCAAGGAUUAAUAGGACAUUUAGAUAUCUUCAUUACAUCAAGAAAUACUAUGUAGAAUGUGAAAGUCUUUCUGAUACUCCUAAAUACCAAUGUUCAAUUUAACAUUCACCGGGCUGGGGUACAUCAGUUCAAGGGUUAAUGUGAAGGAAAAACAAUUGCUUUCCACAAGUCCAGGAUAUCCCUUCUGAUGAUGGUCUUAAUUAAGAUGAGUGAGUAAGUCAGCCUCACAUAAAUGCAGUCUAAACCUGCAUCUGACAUCUUUUCAAAUGAGUACACAUUGAUGACUGUAUAUAAGCAGAAUGAAUCAUACUAGGGUAUCGAUA
rnacentral:lncRNA from 1 species